rfam:Pongo abelii chromosome 11.
CAUAAGGCUGUAUUUACAGCCAUCUUAAAUCUACUAAAGGAAAAAAU